CUGGCCAAGUGCGACUGCGCAAGACUUUUUUUUCUAUUUGAUAAUAAGCUAGCCCUUGAAUGCGAUAUCACCU